rnacentral:rRNA from 1 species
AGAGUUUGAUCAUGGCUCAGAACGAACGCUGGCGGCGUGCUUAACACAUGCAAGUCGAACGAGAAAGGGGUAGCAAUACCCCCGGUAAAGUGGCGAACGGGUGAGUAACACGUGGGUAACCUGCCCUCGAGUUCGGAAUAACCCGCCGAAAGGUGGGCUAAUACCGGAUAAAGCUCCCGGUUCUUCGGAACUGGGAACCAAAGAUGGCCAAUGCUUGCAAGCUAUCACUUGAGGAGGGGCCCGCGGCCCAUUAGCUAGUUGGCGGGGUAAUGGCCCACCAAGGCGACGAUGGGUAGCCGGCCUGAGAGGGCGAUCGGCCACAUUGGAACUGAGACACGGUCCAGACUCCUACGGGAGGCAGCAGUGAGGGAUCUUGCGCAAUGGGCGAAAGCCUGACGCAGCAACGCCGCGUGGGUGAUGAAGGCCUUCGGGUCGUAAAACCCUGUCAGGUGGGAAGAAUCGGGUGGGGGCUAAUAUCCUCCACUCCUGACUGUACCACCGGAGGAAGCCCGGCUAACUCCGUGCCAGCAGCCGCGGUA